CAAUAGCGUAUAUUAAAGUUGUUGCGGUUAAAAAGCUCGUAGUUGGAUUUCUGCUGAGAACGACCGGUCCGCCCUUUGGGUGUGUAUCUGGCUCUUUCUUGGCAUCUUCUUGGUGAACGUUGCUGCACUUGACUGUGUGGAGCGCUACCCAGGACUUUUACUUUGAGGAAAUUAGAGUGUUUCAAGCAGGCAUACGCCUUGAAUACAUUAGCAUGGAAUAAUAAGAUAGGACCUCGGUUCUAUUUUGUUGGUUUCUAGAGCUGAGGUAAUGAUUAAUAGGGAUAGUUGGGGGCAUUCGUAUUUAACUGUCAGAAGUGAAAUUCUUGGAUUUGUUAAAGACGGACUACUGCGAAAGCAUUUGCCAAGGAUGUUUUCAUUGA
rnacentral:rRNA from 1 species